rnacentral:rRNA from 1 species
UGGGGAAUAUUGCGCAAUGGGCGAAAGCCUGACGCAGCAACGCCGUGUGAGGGAUGAAGGCUUUCGGGUCGUAAACCUCUGUCGGAAGGGAAGAACGGGCAAUGGUCUAAUAGGCCGUUGUUUUGACGGUACCUUUAGAGGAAGCACCGGCUAACUCCGUGCCAGCAGCCGCGGUAAUACGGGGGGUGCAAGCGUUAUUCGGAAUUACUGGGCGUAAAGCGCACGUAGGCCGCUUUGUAAGUCAGGGGUGAAAUCCCACGGCUCAACCGUGGAACUGCCUUUGAAACGGCAGAGCUUGAAUCCUGGAGAGGGUGGCGGAAUUCCUGGUGUAGGAGUGAAAUCCGUAGAUAUCAGGAGGAACACCGGUGGCGAAGGCGGCCACCUGGACAGGUAUUGACGCUGAGGUGCGAAAGUGUGGGGAGCAAACA